rnacentral:tRNA from 1 species
GGGAUUGUAGCUCAGUGGUAAAGCACUUGCCUCACAUGCAUGAGGCACUGGGUUCAGUCCUCAGCACCA